AUGAAAAGAUGUGGACCCCUCAAAAUGCUAAGGACAAAGAUUGGCAAAAGCUCAAGACUCUUCAUCUUUAUUUUAGUGAUCCAAGAUCACAUUGAGUCCAUAGGAAAGCCAACACUAUUAAAAGGGGAUGAGGUGUUUCUUAAUGGCUUACUUGCUCAAAUGCUUGGUGAUAUUGAUCCAAAACCCUCAGCCACUUUCUCCAUCCAAAUAUGUCCAAACCCAAAACUCCAACUUGGCCCCACCGAUUCUUUCUACCUGGAGCCACCGAGGCCCGAGUGCCAUGAUUUCAGAUCUGAAAAGUUUAUGUUUUCACCAUUAUAUAUAUGUUCUAGAUCCGAUCUUGCUAGUCAUAUGCACCUGGUACGUGUUAUAAUCUGUAAACCCUAG
rnacentral:rRNA from 1 species